ACAAGUUUUAUCACAAAUGUUUGCUGUAUGAUAUAACUUACACACUAAAAUGGCAUUUGGGGAUUCUUCAGGAUGAUGAAAGACACUUAGAAAAUUCAAAUUACUGAGUACUGUUAGUAUUAUAAAAUACAGCUAGAUCAAAAAUAUGAAGGAAUGAGCAGGACCGGGAGAAUCACAGCCCAGUGUUGGGAGUUAUACGCUGAUUUGCUCUGCUAGAUACCAAAGUUUCUGGGAAACAGAACCCACGAGUAAGGAGGACUCCCGUCAUGGCCUCAACCAUGUCACAGCCUUGCCAUGUCAUGACAACCUUGUCAUGGCCUCUAUGUGUUUACCUCCAAAAACAAGGAUAUAUUCGUUGACUCUGAGCAAUGGAAGAUGGGAGAAAAAGAACUAGGUAACAGUCUUGGAGUAGAUAACAAUUAAAAUAUAGAAGAAAGCCUGCUUCCUGUUCGUUUUGAGUCAGAAAAGCAGAAAUUUGAUGGGAGAGUCAAAUUUCAAGAUGAGAAGC